CAAUUCAUUUCAUCAAGAUAUUUGCUGUGUUGGUGUAAUACAUGUACUCAGGUGAAUAAGAUGCUUGUGUGAUAUGUUACAUAGUCUGAGUGGAUAUCCACACUGGGCAGGCUUGAAAAAUAUACCUGGCCACAGUGGGAUUUGAACCUACAACCUUUGGAAUACUGGCCCAAUGCUCUGCCAACUGAGCUAUACAGUCGGGGCAGUUCGAGUAUGCGAUAUUUCGGAACCGCUGAGUCUAGUUCUUCGAUAUCAGUGUAAUCUAAUAACCAUGAUAUUUGUGAAUAUGAUGCUUGUGUGAUGUUACUCUGAGUGCAUAUCCACACCGGGCAAGCUUGAAAAAUAUGCCAAGCCACAUUGGGAUUCAAACCGACCUGACCGCGUAGCUCAGUUGACAGAGCAUUGGCAUUUGGGCUAGUAUUCCAAAGGUCGUAGGUUCAAAUCCCACUGUGGCCAGGCAUAUUUUUCAAGCCUGCCCGGUGUGGAUAUACACUCAGAGUAACAUCACACAAGCAUCUCAUUUCAUCAAGUUCCUCCAGAUAUUCAUACACUUCCUGUGAAAGAGCCAAUUCCAAGUAUUUAAUCAUUUCUGGUCACUUCCUUUCUAUUUAUGAUUGGUUUGGUGCACAAACAACAAAGGUGAUUGGUGCAUUCAAACCAUUUAACAGGAAGUUUACUAUUAUACUAGGAAGUGUAUGAAUAUCUUGAGGAACUUAAUCAAAUGAAUUGGUUAGCCCGAGGUAAUGUAUUGAAUCAAUAUUUGAGGAACACUUCAAUUGGAAUGACAGUGAAGAAUUAUUAAAAAAAUAUUUUAUUCAAAAAAGGAUUUUCCAAGAUAAUUAUAUAAUUACAUUUAGUAAUAAGAAUAAAUAAUAUAUUCAAUUUCAAAUCACAACAAAAUUUAUUCUUUAUUUUUAAACACAUACAACACCAA